GACGGGGGGGUCCUAGCGUUAUUCGGAUUCACUGGGCGUAAAGGGUGCGCAGGCGGUCGGGUGUGUCAGAUGUGAAAUCCCGAGGCUCAACCUCGGAACUGCGUCUGAAACUACUCGACUAGAGUACUGGAGAGGGUAACGGAAUUCACGGUGUAGCAGUGAAAUGCGUAGAUAUCGUGAGGAACACCAGAGGCGAAGGCGGUUACCUGGACAGUUACUGACGCUCAGGCACGAAAGCAUGGGGAGCAAAAGGG
rnacentral:rRNA from 1 species